CACACUUCUCGACCUUUUGACUAAGAUCAAGUGUAGUAUCUGUUCUUAUCAGUUUAAUAUCUGAUACCUCCUCUAUAUGAGGACUACGUAUUAAAUUGAUUUUUAGAACAGGGAGACAGAAGAGGGGCUUGCUCCGUCCGCUCCAUGCUUUGACGGGGCAGUCGUG
ensembl:snRNA U2 U2 spliceosomal RNA